rnacentral:rRNA from 1 species
GACGAACGCUGGCGGCGUGCCUAAUACAUGCAAGUCGAGCGAACAGACGCGCCCCUUGCCCCUCUGACGUUAGCGGCGGACGGUUGCGUAAGACUUGGAAACCCUACCUUUACGACUGGGUUAACUUCGGGUAACCGGUGCUAAUACGGGCUAAUAUCUUGUACCGCUUUGUUCCAUAGUGCAUGACGGUUUUGCUGUCACUUAUAGCUGGCUCCGGGCCGCAUUAGCUAGUUGGUAAGGUAACGGCUCACCAAGGCAACGAGGCGUAGCCGACCUGAGAGGGUGAUCGGCCACACUGGAACUGAGACACGGCCCAGACUCCUACGGGAGGCAGCAGUAGGGAAUCUUCCGCAAUGGGCGAAAGCCUGACGGAGCAACGCCGCGUGAGUGAUGAAGGUCUUCGGAUCGUAAAACUCUGUUAUUAGGGAAGAACAAAUGUGUAAGUAACUAUGCACGUCUUGACGGUACCUAAUCAGAAAGCCACGGCUAACUACGUG